rnacentral:rRNA from 1 species
AUGAACGCUAGCUACAGGCUUAACACAUGCAAGUCGAGGGGCAGCAUGGUCUUAGCUUGCUAAGGCCGAUGGCGACCGGCGCACGGGUGAGUAACACGUAUCCAACCUGCCGUCUACUCUUGGACAGCCUUCUGAAAGGAAGAUUAAUACAAGAUGGCAUCAUGAGUCCGCAUGUUCACAUGAUUAAAGGUAUUCCGGUAGACGAUGGGGAUGCGUUCCAUUAGAUAGUAGGCGGGGUAACGGCCCACCUAGUCUUCGAUGGAUAGGGGUUCUGAGAGGAAGGUCCCCCACAUUGGAACUGAGACACGGUCCAAACUCCUACGGGAGGCAGCAGUGAGGAAUAUUGGUCAAUGGGCGAGAGCCUGAACCAGCCAAGUAGCGUGAAGGAUGACUGCCCUAUGGGUUGUAAACUUCUUUUAUAAAGGAAUAAAGUCGGGUAUGGAUACCCGUUUGCAUGUACUUUAUGAAUAAGGAUCGGCUAACUCCGUGCCAGCAGCCGCGGUAAUACGGAGGAUCCGAGCGUUAUCCGGAUUUAUUGGGUUUAAAGGGAGCGUAGAUGGAUGUUUAAGUCAGUUGUGAAAGUUUGCGGCUCAACCGUAAAAUUGCAGUUGAUACUGGAUAUCUUGAGUGCAGUUGAGGCAGGCGGAAUUCGUGGUGUAGCGGUGAAAUGCUUAGAUAUCACGAAGAACUCCGAUUGCGAAGGCAGCCUGCUAAGCUGCAACUGACAUUGAGGCUCGAAAGUGUGGGUAUCAAACAGGAUUAGAUACCCUGGUAGUCCACACGGUAAACGAUGAAUACUCGCUGUUUGCGAUAUACUGCAAGCGGCCAAGCGAAAGCGUUAAGUAUUCCACCUGGGGAGUACGCCGGCAACGGUGAAACUCAAAGGAAUUGACGGGGGCCCGCACAAGCGGUGGAGCAUGUGGUUUAAUUCGAAGCAACGCGAAGAACCUUACCAGGUCUUGACAUCCGAUGCAUAACACAGAGAUGUGUGAAAUCCUUCGGGACAUCGAGACAGGUGGUGCAUGGUUGUCGUCAGCUCGUGCCGUGAGGUGUCGGCUUAAGUGCCAUAACGAGCGCAACCCUUGUUGUCAGUUACUAACAGGUUCCGCUGAGGACUCUGACAAGACUGCCAUCGUAAGAUGUGAGGAAGGUGGGGAUGACGUCAAAUCAGCACGGCCCUUACGUCCGGGGCUACACACGUGUUACAAUGGGGGGUACAGAGGGCCGCUACCACGCGAGUGGAUGCCAAUCCCCAAAACCUCUCUCAGUUCGGACUGGAGUCUGCAACCCGACUCCACGAAGCUGGAUUCGCUAGUAAUCGCGCAUCAGCCACGGCGCGGUGAAUACGUUCCCGGGCCUUGUACACACCGCCCGUCAAGCCAUGGGAGCCGGGGGUACCUGAAGUGCGUAACCGCGAGGAGCGCCCUAGGGUAAAACUGGUGACUGGGGCU